UAUAUAUAUAAUUUAAUAAAAAUUAUUAUUUUAUUAAUAUAUAUAAUUAAUUAAUUAUUGAUCUUAUCCAUCAAUAUCUAAUUAUCUUAGUCCUUUCGAGAAUCAAUAAGAUGGAAGAGUCUUUUUAAAUAGGCUUUCAGGCUAGGUCAGGCCUUUUUAUUUUAUAAAACAGGCCAGGCCGAGCCUCAUUUUAAGAUUGAACCAG
rnacentral:lncRNA from 1 species